AGGCAGUCUCUUUGGCUAUCU
rnacentral:siRNA from 1 species